CCUACGGGUGGCUGCAGUGGGGAAUAUUGGACAAUGGGCGCAAGCCUGAUCCAGCCAUGCCGCGUGUGUGAAGAAGGCCUUUUGGUUGUAAAGCACUUUAAGCGAGGAGGAGGCUCCUUUAGUCAAUACCUAAAGUGAGUGGACGUUACUCGCAGAAUAAGCACCGGCUAACUCUGUGCCAGCAGAUGCGGUAAUACAGAGGGUGCGAGCGUUAAUCGGAUUUACUGGGCGUAAAGCGUGCGUAGGCGGCUUGUUAAGUCUGAUGUGAAAUCCCUGAGUUUAACUUAGGAAUUGCAUUCGAUACUGGAAAGCUAUAGUAUAGGAGAGGAUGGUAGAAUUCCAGGUGUAGCGGUUAAAUGCGUAGAGAUCUGGAGGAAUACCGAUGGCGAAGGCAGCCAUCUGGCCUGAUACUGACGUUGAGGUACGAAAGCAUGGGGAGCAAACAGGAUUAGAUACCCGGGUAGUC
rnacentral:rRNA from 1 species